GUUCUAUGAGAAGCUCGAACAAAAAAGGAAGGCAGAGGAGAUCGAAAAGAAGCAUCUGCAAAAAAGAUACCAGGACGUUAAGAAAGUGCAGCAAAGAACCAGCUCAAAAGCCAAACCAAAUGAAGGUUUGUGUCCUGGAUCACAAUUGUCAACGAGUCACAUAAAGAAGAUCCCUCCGACACAGCCUAGAUCACCGUUGCUUGGAAGGAAGACAACUACCAGCAAGAUCUCGGAUGCAACUUCUCGUUCUUUAGCCAAUACCGAAAGUUCCAAGUGCAUCGAAAAUAAACGAAGCACAAAUUGGCCAGUCACUUCUCGCUUGCAGAAGAAUGCACGCGAGAAUGCAUCUCCAAACAUCCAGAGUUCAGCACUAAAACGAUAGGGACAACCGUGUAAGAAAUUUGUAUGGAAAGUACAGUUGAAGUAGCGAUUGAUCCAUCAUCACCUGGAGCCACUUCUGUAAUUAGACAUUUGGGGGUGAUUGUGAUAUGUGUUGUGGUCUGCUUUCAACAUCAGUUAGGAAAGUUUUGCAGGAUUUCAUCUCCGUGGAAAGUGCAUAGAAAUUUUCUUUCCUACCAGUUUUGAAAUUUAUAGCAUGAAAAAGCAACUUCUGAUGU